rnacentral:rRNA from 1 species
GAUGAACGCUGGCGGCGUGCCUAAUACAUGCAAGUCGAGCGAACGGACGAGAAGCUUGCUUCUCUGAUGUUAGCGGCGGACGGGUGAGUAACACGUGGAUAACCUACCUAUAAGACUGGGAUAACUUCGGGAAACCGGAGCUAAUACCGGACGAUAUUUUGAACCGCAUGGUUCAAAAGUGAAAGACGGUCUUGCUGUCACUUAUAGAUGGAUCCGCGCUGCAUUAGCUAGUUGGUAAGGUAACGGCUUACCAAGGCAACGAUGCAUAGCCGACCUGAGAGGGUGAUCGGCCACACUGGAACUGAGACACGGUCCAGACUCCUACGGGAGGCAGCAGUAGGGAAUCUUCCGCAUUGGGCGAAAGCCUGACGGAGCAACGCCGCGUGAGUGAUGAAGGUCUUCGGAUCGUAAAACUCUGUUAUUAGGGAAGAACAUAUGUGUAAGUAACUGUGCACAUCUUGACGGUACCUAAUCAGAAAGCCACGGCUAACUACGUG